rnacentral:rRNA from 1 species
ACGUACACUCCUACGGGAGGCAGCAGUGGGGAAUAUUGCACAAUGGGCGCAAGCCUGAUGCAGCCAUGCCGCGUGUAUGAAGAAGGCCUUCGGGUUGUAAAGUACUUUCAGCGGGGAGGAAGGCGAUAAGGUUAAUAACCUUGUCGAUUGACGUUACCCGCAGAAGAAGCACCGGCUAACUCCGUGCCAGCAGCCGCGGUAAUACGGAGGGUGCAAGCGUUAAUCGGAAUUACUGGGCGUAAAGCGCACGCAGGCGGUCUGUCAAGUCGGAUGUGAAAUCCCCAGGCUCAACCUGGGAACUGCAUUCGAAACUGGCAGGCUAGAGUCUUGUAGAGGGGGGUAGAAUUCCAGGUGUAGCGGUGAAAUGCGUAGAGAUCUGGAGGAAUACCGGUGGCGAAGGCGGCCCCCUGGACAAAGACUGACGCUCAGGUGCGAAAGCGUGGGGAGCAAACAGGAUUAGAAACCCGAGUAGUCUC